rnacentral:rRNA from 1 species
GACGAACGCUGGCGGCGUGCCUAAUACAUGCAAGUAGAACGCUGAAGGAGGAUCUUGCUUCUCUGGAUGAGUUGCGAACGGGUGAGUAACGCGUAGGUAACCUGCCUGGUAGCGGGGGAUAACUAUUGGAAACGAUAGCUAAUACCGCAUAACAGUAGAUAUCGCAUGAUAUCUACUUGAAAGGUGCAAUUGCAUCACUACCAGAUGGACCUGCGUUGUAUUAGCUAGUUGGUGAGGUAACGGCUCACCAAGGCGACGAUACAUAGCCGACCUGAGAGGGUGAUCGGCCACACUGGGGCUGAGACACGGCCCAGACUCCUACGGGAGGCAGCAGUAGGGAAUCUUCGGCAAUGGACGGAAGUCUGACCGAGCAAAGCCGCGUGAGUGAAGAAGGGUUUCGGAUCGUAAAGCUCUGUUGUAAGAGAAGAACGAGUGUGAGAGUGGAAAGUUCACACUGUGACGGUAUCUGACCAGAAAGGGACGGCUAACUACGUG